UGUCCAUAUGAGAUCAUAAUGCACCUGCAUGACCUCACCCAGCCCUUCAUCUGCCCAUUGUUGAUCUGACCUGGCCCCUAAUUGUGAGGCCUUGGGCAGCUGCCUUAAGGGUCCCUGCCAGAUGGACAGGCAGCAGUCCACCUGAGAAGAGUGAAGGAACCCAUUGCAAGUAUUCCAGCUCUUGAUGGGAGAAGCUAACAGCUGUGUGAUCUCUGGGACCCGGAAGUCGCCUAAGAAGCCCUUCUUACAUUGGGUUGAUUCCCUGGGAGAAAUGUGAGCUAGACCACAACCCUGCCUGCAGAGGGACUGGCCAGCCACUGACUCCCCUGACGUCCCUGAUUCUGAGACACGACUCAGGAGAAUGGUCACCUGCCUCCGUGGAUGUGCACUGAAGAACCAGCCACCGCCAGACACUACCCGUUCAUCCCAUAAUCUCAGGAAUUUACUCACGAUGAGGCUCCGAUUCCUCCUCCUCCUCCUCCUCAUUUGUUUCUCACAGACGGUGUCAGGCUAUGAAAAAAGAAAGAAAAACAAGGAAUGUGAAGACAUGGGGGGCGCCUGCAAGCACCAGAAGACCCACGGGUGCUCCAUCCUGCCUGCAGAGUGCAGGAGUCGGAACAAGCACUGCUGCAGAGUCUAGCUCCCACACCACGGCGCCCCACCCCCCAGUCCUGCUGCUCGCCCUGCUGACUGCUCAAUAAAGGCCUACCACUCACACGGGUCCUGGACUGGUUCUUCCCUGGAUGGGCAUGCUCAAAUGGCAGGCCGUUGAAUGGGGAGGGGGGAGCAUUUAAGUUCUAUGGUUGCUUACACCACUAACCAGCUGGUUGACUUCGGACAAGGCCAUUCCUUCUCUAGUUCUCAGUCUCUGUACCUGCAACUAUUGAAACUAUUGUUCUCCAAGCCGCCUGCAAUCUGUUCAUGUGAGUCUGCAUACCUGUGGGCUGAGGGUAAGAGUUCCGAGGGUGUGUGUGUGUGUG